rnacentral:rRNA from 1 species
UUGAGCGGAGAUAUAUGGAGCUUGCUUUAUAUAACUUAGCAGCGAACGGGUGAGUAACACGUAGAUAAUCUAUCCUAUACUGGGGGAUAGCCCGAUGAAAGUUGGAUUAAUACCGCAUAUAGCUAUAUAGUUGCAUGAUUAUGUAGUGAAAGAUUUAUUGGUAUAGGAGGAGUCUGCGGCACAUUAGCUAGUAGGUGAGGUAAAGGCUUACCUAGGCGACGAUGUGUAGCCGGUCUGAGAGGAUGAACGGCCACAAUGGAACUGAGACACGGUCCAUACUCCUACGGGAGGCAGCAGUGGGGAAUAUUGCACAAUGGGGGAAACCCUGAUGCAGCAACGCCGCGUGAGUGAAGAAGGUUUUCGGAUCGUAAAGCUCUGUUAGCAGGGAAGAGGAAGGACGGUACCUGCAGAGGAAGCCACGGCUAACUACGUGCCAGCAGCCGCGGUAAUACGUAGGUGGCAAGCGUUGUUCGGAAUAACUGGGCGUAAAGGAUGCGUAGGCGGUUAAACAAGUUAUAUGUUAAAUAUAUAGGCUUAACCUGUAGAAAGCAUAUAAAACUGUUUAACUAGAGUGCAGGAGAGGUAAGUGGAAUUCCUAGUGUAGCGGUGAAAUGCGUAGAGAUUAGGAAGAACACCAGUGGCGAAGGCGACUUACUGGACUGUAACUGACGCUGAGGCAUGAGAGCAUGGGGAGCAAACAGGAUUAGAUACCC